GACGAACGCUGGCGGCGUGCUUAACACAUGCAAGUCGAACGAGGUCCAUGAAGUAGCAAUACUUCGGAAGACCUAGUGGCGAACGGGUGCGUAACACGUGAGGAACUUGUCCCGGUCUCUGGGAUAACAGUUGGAAACGACUGCUAAUACCGGAUGACGUCGGAGCGUCGCAUGGCGCGCUGACGAAAGGGUUACCGGAUCGGGAGAGCCUCGCGGCCUAUCAGCGUGUUGGCGGGGUAAUGGCCCACCAAGGCAUCGACGGGUAGCUGAUCUGAGAGGAUGAUCAGCCAAACUGGGACUGAGACACGGCCCAGACUCCUACGGGAGGCAGCAGUGGGGAAUCUUGCGCAAUGGGCGAAAGCCUGACGCAGCAACGCCGCGUGCGGGAAGAAGGCUCUCGGGUUGUAAACCGCUUUCAGCAGGAACGAAAAUGACGGUACUUGCAGAAGAAGGUGCGGCCAACUACGUGCCAGCCGCCGCAGUAACAC
rnacentral:rRNA from 1 species